CUACAUUAGAUACCCCUGUAGUCCCAGCCGUAAACUAUGCGCGUUAGGUGUAUCGGUGACCACGAGUUACCGAGGUGCCGAAGGGAAACCGUGAAACGUGCCGCCUGGGAAGUACGGUCGCAAGGCUGAAACUUAAAGGAAUUGGCGGGGAGCACCACAACGGGUGGAGCCUGCGGUUUAAUUGGACUCAACGCCGGGAAGCUCACCGGAUAAGACAGCGGAAUGAUUGCCGGGCUGAAGACUCUGCAUGACUAGCUG
rnacentral:rRNA from 1 species